rnacentral:rRNA from 1 species
UUGGAGAGGUUUGAUCCUGGCUCAGGAUGAACGCUGGCGGCGUGCCUAAUACAUGCAAGUCGAGCGAACAGAUAAGGAGCUUGCUCCUUUGACGUUAGCGGCGGACGGGUGAGUAACACGUGGAUAACCUACCUAUAAGACUGGGAUAACUUCGGGAAACCGGAGCUAAUACCGGAUAACAUAUUGAACCGCAUGGUUCAAUAGUGAAAGGCGGCUUUGCUGUCACUUAUAGAUGGAUCCGCGCCGUAUUAGCUAGUUGGUAAGGUAACGGCUUACCAAGGCAACGAUACGUAGCCGACCUGAGAGGGUGAUCGGCCACACUGGAACUGAGACACGGUCCAGACUCCUACGGGAGGCAGCAGUAGGGAAUCUUCCGCAAUGGGCGAAAGCCUGACGGAGCAACGCCGCGUGAGUGAUGAAGGUCUUCGGAUCGUAAAACUCUGUUAUCAGGGAAGAACAAAUGUGUAAGUAACUGUGCACAUCUUGACGGUACCUGAUCAGAAAGCCACGGCUAACUACGUGCCAGCAGCCGCGGGUAAUA